ensembl:lncRNA
UCCUUGGGCAACCUGUUCCAGUGCAUCAACACCCAAUAUAAAAUAACUUUCCUUCACUUUAAAAAAAUUAGACAAAGGGCAGUAAAACUCUCUUAUUAACAAAGUCAUGAAAUGUCACAAGAAUAGAAGAUAAUGACAAAAGUAAUAAAGGGUGCAAAACUAGCAGUGCACUCCUCAUGUUUUUUAAAUGUACAAAUCUGGAAGAGCGUAUAUAUUCAUGAAAACAAGAUAUCAGUAGUUUUGGCUUUUUUGGGCCUUGGUGCAUCUCAGCAUUGACCCCUUAAGUUCAAAAGACAAGUUGAGCAGCAUAGCUCUGCCAGAGAACUUCAGACCUUAUCUGGAAAACUUUUUUAGUUUCAGUCCUGAAUCUCUCUGGCACAGUCUGUCAGCAAUACCAGACCGUAAGGUAGUUCAGUUAUGUGGGCAAAUGAACACUUUAUUUCACCUAUCCUUUUUUGGGAAAAUUCAGAAAUUGCAUAUUGUAUCCCCUUUCAGUGUUUCUGUGAACAGUAAGUUGCUCUACCAACUUUGCAGCCUGUUAUUGAUAACAUGCCCGUACAUUAUAUAUAUAUAUAUACUUAAAAAGUGUUCAUUUAUAAAUACACUUUAAAAUUCAAGAAAAUUCCUUUUCUUCCUGAUAUUUGGAAUAAUAAAAUCUUCACCAGAUGUAUUCACAGUCUGAAAAGAUCUUGAAUGUAAGAGACGACUUAGUUCAGUUCCUAGACAUUGAAGUCUCUUAGAAUAUGAAGGAGGUGUUUCAAAAGGAGUAAGAAACUGAACUUCAUCCUUCUCCUCCCACACUGAAAACAAAUGCUUUCUACAUUUGCCCAUAUAUCACCUGAUAAUCCUCACAAUUUCCAGAGACUACAAAGUGUCCUUUCCCAAACUAGUAGUUUGUAAGUGAGAAGAAAAAAUAGAGAAAGGCAGAAUCCAGAGGGACUCCUCCUAUGACUUUUACAAAUAGUCUUUUACAAAAGAUAAUAUCUCAUGAACUGAGGGAAAAAAAAAAGAGAGAAAGAUAUUAUCUCUCUAUUUCUGAGCACAUAUUUCUGGUUUUUACAUGCCUUUUUACAGCAUUUUACAUGUUCUUUUCUUGUAAGGGAGAGUUCUCUCAAUAAAGAAUCUUCC